GAGAUUGGUGUCCUUGUUGGGGUAAGUAUGUAAAGAAAUCAUAUAUAAUGGGAUUCAGGGAGGUGCAUUUGCAAUAAAUUUAGUGUUUUGUGCCUUUUUUUUUUGGGAACACUUGAACUCAUGAUUCAAAAUGCCUAUCAGCUGUUAAUAAUUAUGUAUUUUCUAGGAUUCUGAAUCUUUUAACUCUUUUUUGAGGCCUAAAAUUUCACAUCAAUGCCAUUUUAGAUUGAACUCUGAGUGUGGCAUAGACAUACUCAACUUUGAGACAAUGUUUGAUAAGACUUUAGUCAACUGUGUUGGAUGCAUUAAUGUCCUUGGAAGCCUGGAUGAAACUGUCAA
rnacentral:misc_RNA from 1 species